AUUGAACGCUGGCGGCAGGCCUAACACAUGCAAGUCGAGCGAGCGGCGGACGGGUGCGUAAUGUAUGGGGACUGCCCGAUAGAGGGGGGUAACUACUGGAAACGGUGGCUAAUACCCCAUACUGUCGGAUAACCCAUAUGGGAUUAGCUAGUAGGUAAGGUAAUGGCUUACCUAGGCGACGAUCGCUAGCUGGUCUGAGAGGAUGAUCAGCCACACUGGGACUGAGACACGGUCCAGAAUCCUACGGAGGCAGCAGUGGGGAAUAUUGCACAAUGGGCGCAAGCCUGAUGCAGCCAUGCCGCGUGUAUGAAGAAGGCCCUAGGGUUGUAAAGUACUUUCAGUCGGGAGGCGUUACCGACAGAAGAAGCACCGGCUAACUCCGUGCCAGCCGCCGCGGUAAUUC
rnacentral:rRNA from 1 species